GUACUUAUAUGAGUAUUUGCAAGCGACAAAAUACUAGCUAGCUGAUUGUUAUCCUGUUGGUCCUGAUUUGUCAAAAGUCAAUUAUAGUGUCUACAGAUAAGGGGUAGAAAAAUUUGGAGCUGCAAUUUAAAAUCGAGUAAAUUGCAAUCUAAUGUCAACUUCAAACCCGACAAAUGUCACCGCUCAGCGAUAUGUUGCAACCCCGCAACGUGUACAAUCAAGAAGAUAACCCACACACACUCCGUUGAUAUUUUCAAUAGCUGCACCCAUGCUCUCUGAGCCUGAAUUUAUAAUGUAAUAUCCUAAUGAUCAUCCACAUGAUAUCACCAUAGGCUCUCCUAAUACCUCUCAACCCUAAUGGAAUAGAGCUCAAUGGCAACCGCACUGGCGUCCU
rnacentral:lncRNA from 1 species